AGUGCUACAUAAUGUAAUUUAGUAACAGUUGGAUUACACAAUAAUAUUUUACACUAAAUAUUAAACCUAUUGACUUCAACUGAACAUUAAUCUCAGAACUGAGACAGUAUUAAACAGUCAGUAACAGAGGCCCCUGUGCGAAUCAGGACCUCAGGUUUAAUCAGUGUUGUGGAAUGUGAGAAUAUGAUCAAAUCAACAAGUUAGAAUGUUUUACUUGUACUCUAAAUCGGAUAUCUAGGAAUUGUUAUAGGGGGAAAAACUGCUUGAGUCGAGCACUUUCCUUUAACUGGAGCUGAAACUUGUUGUUAAAGCGUUUUUGGCCUUUUGUCAACCCUACAGUGCAAGUCCCCGAGGCGCGUUCCCGACGACGCGCGCACGCGCCUCUCACUAUUCGCGUUUUCCUACAAAAUGUCGCCUCCUGUAAGAACACGAGCACUGCUUUUUUUAUUUAUUCAAAUAUUUUACAUAUACGGAUUAUGUACUUUCUAUACAUUUACAAAAGGCUGCUGUAGAUUUAAAACGCUCUGAAAGUCUUCACCAAAGAAAAACAUUUAUAAAAAAAAAAAAAAAAAAAAAAAAAAAAACGGUUUACGACGCUCGUGAGUGUGGCUCUGCGACAUAUUGAACACAUUCAGCAAGACUUUACGCGAGCACGCGACAGGAAAUACCGGUUUAAAGCAGCACGCGCACAGAUCGUUGUUCUGCUGGAAGCUCCACCCACGUCUCAUCUACAUCAUCCUGGUGGAUGGCAGCAGAUUCUUCUCAAGAAUCUCCCGGUAAAGGGCUCCAUUCAUCGUUCCUUCAAUUAUAUGAAGUCUGCCAGUACCAUGUGAUGAAAAACAGCCCCACACCAUGAUGCUUCACCUCCAAACUUCACUGUUGGUGUAGUGUUUUUAGGGUGAUGUGCAGUGCCAUUUCUUCUCCAAACAUGGUGUGUAGUAUGACAGCCAAAAAGUUUAAUUUUGCUCUCAACUGACCAGACUACAGUCUCCCCGUAUUUCAUAGGCUUGUCCAAAUGAGUUGUAGCAAACUUUAAACGAGCUUCAACAUGCCUUUUCUUUAGUACUAGAGUCUUGUGAGGUGAGCGUGAGCAGUGGAGUGCAUUGCCGAUUGUUUUCUCUGUGACGAUGGCACCUGAUGCCUCCAAGUGUUUCUGGAGCUCUUUCCGAGUGGUCCCUGGGUCUUGGGCUACUCUUCUGACUAUUCUUCUGACUCCCUGGUCAGAAAUCGUGCGAGGAGAUCCUGUGCGUGGCCAGUUGAUGAUGGAGUGAUGUUGCUUCCACUUGCGGAUAAUGACCCUGAUGGUGUUUACUGGAGGAUUCGGAAGUUUUGAAAUACGUCUGAAUCCGAUUCCAUCAAUAUGUUGCACGAAGAGGUCUCUUGGGAGAAUAUAUUUACUGAAACAUUUGUUGACAUGUCCAAUACUUAUUUCCCCCACUGUACCAUUACAAACCAUUAGCUAACCAGUAAAACCAUUACCAUUACUGGUCCUUAAUGUUAUCCACUAGACAUAACAUGCCAAUUAUAGAAGGCAACAAAUUACCAAGGCGAACUAAUACAAUUCCCAUUAUAACCAUUAAAACCAUUACAAAUUCUAUGAGGGUUGGCAGGGUCCAGCAGGAUAUUUUGAUGCAUUUAUAGAUUUAGAGUUUUAUUGAAAUUGAAUACUUGUACUCGGUUACAUUUCCAAGAAAAAAAACUUUUUUGCUCCUUACCUUUUUAUUUAGACUUUCAAGAGUACUAAUCACAACGGCCUCUUCUUCUUUCGUACAGCCAGUGACAGUAUGCUAUACAUCAGUAAAAUGGUGCCUAGUUUAGCAUCUAAUCACUUAGCAUCCAAAGUUCAUCAGUGUAGAAUAAAAUGAUUUUAAAAAAUCAUUCCAGUUCAUCAUUUGCUGUGACCUACACAAAGCAGUUGGACUAUUGUGUUUGCCUUGUUGAAAAAACAAUAGAAACUAUUACAGAAAUUCUAAUGGUUUCCACAGUAAAUACAGUUACAAACCAUUAAAACCAUUACCAUUAUUGGUAAUUAGACAUAACCUGCCACCAACAGAAAGCAACAGAUUACCAGUAGAGACCCACAGGGACCAUUACAAUUCCCAUUAAAAACCAUUACAAAUUUUAUGAAGGUUUCUAUUGUGUUUGUUUUUCAGCAGGUGAAGACAGAUAAUCCACCAGACUACAGUGUGGAACUUGAGGAUGCGUGUCUCUGGCCCUACCCUAGUAAAAUGUCUCAGUAUGCUGGAGUAAGCAAAGAUUUGUAUAAAAUGAGGCAUCUCCUUUACAUCUCUAUAAGGAAUAUAAGGCUUGAACUCCAUCUAAUUUGAAAAAGCAUGUUUAUGAAAGUUUAGCUAAUUUAUUUUGCUAAUGCCAGGUUAGAUUAGCAUCGAUUCCAGUAGCUACGGGGCAGCAAGACAAUUCUAGUUAGUGGUAAAUAUUACAAACUUAUUUGAAUGAUGGUUUUUAGGCAAAAACGACAUCAUUGCUACAGAACAAAAAAAAUCAAACAAUGUUAGAUAAGUACUUUUCACACGAAAACAUGAGAUUUCAUCAGUUAAAAACUUUUACUGAUAAAUUUUUGGCCGGAUACUUCCACUUUUAACUGAGAGAAAAAAUCUGUAAAAAACGAUGUCCCAAAGUGUAAUAAGGCUUUAUUUGGUCUAGUCUUGAAUGAAUUUUGAAGAGAAAUGCAUAUCAAUGACUAUAUUUAUUGGAUAAGUACGAUCGAUGAUUUCAGGUCAGACUAAAAUAGUAACCUGAAAUGGUAUUUAAAAAUAGUUCAAAUAUGAUGCAUAGGGGGUUAUAAGAUACAUGACUGGAAACAACUUAAAAGUUUUCAAUGGUUUGAAACACACAUUUUUAUUAAAGCCAUUGUUGGUGCGUACACCACAGCCCUGUAUUCAUCCAUCCGUCCAUCUAAAAUUACAUUCUCAUUCAUCAAAAUCUCUGAGCAUUCAAUAUAAUGCUUGAGUCCUUUGAGAAUUAAGGGUAGAAUUACACAUUUUUUAAAAAAAGAAAAAGGGAAAAUAAAUACAAUUUAAAAAAAUAUGCAAGGAUAGUUUAAAAUUUUUACAAGUUCCUAACUAGUAAGGUGCAGAUUGGCAAAACAGACUCAACUACAGCAUUAAGCCCUUUCAGACCUGACUCUGGUUUACAUUUGCUAGUCAUUUAAUUUCUAAUAAAAAAAAGAAAAGGAAAGAAAGGGGAAGGACAACAAAGUAAUAAAAACAAGGAAAAUGCAUUCUGUAAAUACUGAAUAUGUUUAUGGCCGAGCAGUGAAAUAAUGAAACUUGAACUUGUAAAAUUCCAACAACACAUCUAUUUACAAUACACUUAGUCAGACCAAGAAAUAAAGUCCCAUCACUGUACUUACUUUAGUUAAUAAGUCUUUAACACAAACAUAGCAACAAAGAGCACUUGAGGAGCAGAGUGGAUCGAUUUGUUACUGUAACAGUGAAGCAACAUCUGUUUUAUAACCAAUGCAGCCAACGGGGUCACAUCAGCAGGGAGUGGUAUAUAUUUGUAAAAGUGG